rnacentral:rRNA from 1 species
AAUGAACGCUGGCGGCAUGCCUAACACAUGCAAGUCGAACGAAGGCUUCGGCCUUAGUGGCGCACGGGUGCGUAACGCGUGGGAAUCUGCCCUCAGGUUCGGAAUAACAGCGAGAAAUUGCUGCUAAUACCGGAUGAUAUCGCGAGAUCAAAGAUUUAUCGCCUGAGGAUGAGCCCGCGUAGGAUUAGCUAGUUGGUGUGGUAAAGGCGCACCAAGGCGACGAUCCUUAGCUGGUCUGAGAGGAUGAUCAGCCACACUGGGAUUGAGACACGGCCCAGACUCCUACGGGAGGCAGCAGUGGGGAAUAUAGGACAAUGGGCGAAAGCCUGAUCCAGCAAUGCCGCGUGAGUGAUGAAGGCCUUAGGGUUGUAAAGCUCUUUUACCCGGGAUGAUAAUGACAGUACCGGGAGAAUAAGCUCCGGCUAACUCCGUGCCAGCCGCCGCGGUAA